rnacentral:lncRNA from 10 species
GUAGUAGUUUGUGUAAUAUCGCGAUCCUUCUCUGGUGUUCCUUGUUUUAGCUGACGACACUCGAGAGCGCCAAUUUUCCUAGAUUCGAUUUUGUGGUUUGGAACUGUGGUUUUGGAAUCCAGAGUAGUCGCCUCGUUCUAGUAUCCAAUUGCUCCAGCACCAACUGGUGAAAAGACCAUCAUUCUUCUACUCAGUUGCAUUUGAAGCUUUGUCAAAAACCAGACACAAUUGGAGACACAGGUUCUUCUAUCAAGGCCUUGACUGGAAUGGCAUAUUUUCAGAUAUGACCACAUUGCUUUGAGGAAAUGAGGCUGAUGUUGCAGAGCUGAUAAAACCCCCACAGAAAGGCCAGCCUACCUCUGGUGCAGUUGCAACUAUGAUUUCCCUAUGAGCACUACUUUUGCUGCAUCCU